AUCCGCUUGGCGUUUUCACUCACUACCAAAUAUGGGAGAAGAAGGAUUUUGGCCGACAUUCAGCAUAUGUUCUCAUCGGGGAAACAAUUUUUGUUCACAAUACAGUUUUCGGUUCCCAAAACUAGAAUAUGUUAUGAACAGAGUGGACUAAGUUUUGUAGACUUUGCCUUCCGAAAAUGUUCUUCUUAUUAUUUUUUUGUAAUUUCGUUGUUUAGAAGAUGCGCAAAGGCGAAUUGAGUUAUUGCACACGCACACUUCAGAGUAGUCGUUCCCUAACGGAAAUAUGCAGAUGAUGCUAGAACACACUAAUGCUUGGCUCUGCCCACUAUGACAAAUGUAUACCCAGUUAUAAAUAUCUUUGUUUUUACCAGUUGAAGGAAGCAUCCACCCGUAUGACCAGGAGGAGAGUGUGGGGUCCUGGAGGACAGAGGAACACUGCACACAAUCUCCUUCACCCGGCAUCCUGGAGUGUUGAUCGGCAAGCCUGGGGAAAGGACUGAAAGAAAAAAAUGCAUUUAUUAAAGAGUCAAGACAGACACACCAGAAAGAGGCCCAAGACUCAAGAUCAGAGGCCAGUGAGGGUUGUUCAGAACUCACUCAAUCCGGUAAAUUGGUGACGGUACACUUUGAGCUGCUUACCCUGACACUGGCGGGGUUACAAUUGUCUCCACUCCCCUCCUCUUUGACCCUAACUAUUUGACGUGUACAGAUCUGUAAAGGUCAAAGCAAUGUAGUGAAGACUAAGCCACUGCAAAGCUUAAACUUAUUCACUCACACCCUUCAGAUCUGCAAAUAUUUAUAGUAGAGUUCUGGAGUAGGGAAAUUAGCUGUUAAAAGUUCUACUCUGCGAGAAGACGUUGCAUGCACAAACUAAAAAUAUUGGGUACAUUUCCACCACAACUAAGAUUGUUGAAGUGCAAGGAGAAACGUUUCUGCUGUUUUGGUCCCACGUUGUAGCAGCUGUGCAAAUGCUUCGUCCUGCUCCCUUCCUCUCUACCUAAACUUCCCUUACAGUCCCUUCAGUUUCCCUUGAGUCCUGUUUGUUUUUCUGUUUAGCCUACCUUAGUUAUCCCUCACCCAUUCCCAACCAAUCAGAGAGCAUGGAAAAGGCGCAUCUGGAAACUGCACCCACUCAGGUCAGAGCGUUAUCGUUGUCCGAAGAAAGGAGACACAUUUUUCUGAGGACUAUUAUUAUUGUUAUUAAUGGGGCGGCAGGUAGCCUAGUGGUUAGAGCGUUGGACUAGGAACCACCAGGUAGCCUAGUGGUUAGAGCGUUGGACUAGGAACCACCAGGUAGCCUAGUGGUUAGAGCGUUGGACUAGGACCCACCAUUAGGCUACCCACCAGGUAGGUAGCUGUGCAAGAUCGAAUCCCUGAGCACACAAGGUAAAAAGGUGUUGCUCUGCCCCUGAACAAGGCAGUUAACCCACUGUUCCUAGGCCGUCAUUGAAAAUAAGAAUUUGUUCUUAACUGACCUGACUAGUUAAAUAAAGGUGAAAUAAAAAAUUGUGGACAGUAACAAGAAUAACUGAAAGGGUUGCGUGCAUUGAAAUGUAAGUUGCAGGGGGGAUUUAUUGGAUUUCUUUUGACAUAUUGUGUAAUAAUGGAUAAUUACCACAAAUUACUUAGUAACUUUGAUACGUUUGCAGCCAUAUGUUGUAUUGCACAGCUAUGACUAUUCUUUAAUGUUGGAGUUGUCAAUACUGCUUGGCAUAUUCUGCCCUCCCAAGCAAAAAGGCAGAAAACUGCUCAUUUGAUCGAAAAUUAGUUAAUGUCAUUUUUCUUACAUUAAAUGCAUGCUUAAUCAUGUGGACAAGUAUCCUGCCUCUAUUGUAUUGUGGAGAAAAUGUGGGUCAUGUUAGCAGUAACUGCAUAAAGGUACUGUGAAACCAAAGUAAAUGGCAGCAACUGAACUUACUGCGUUUUACCUUGGUUUCAACCUGCCCUUGGCUGCAGUUACUACGUUUUAUCUUGGUUUCAUAUCAUUUUAUACUGAUGGUGAUGCAAUCGAACCUGUAUGACACUGACUGACAGCCACACACAUACAUUGCUAAUCUAGGGAUACAACACCAUGGCACAGCAUUCCCAGGGGGAAAUUAUGGUUGAACUUGCUCUGAACCGCCGACAUCCAGACACUGGUAAGAACUAGCUAGCUAAGUAGAUCUGAGAUCAAAAUGAGCUAGCUAGCAAGUGUAACAGUUGUUAAAGUACUAUGUGAAUUUCACCAGGUUCAUAUAUCAAUAUGUUGUGUUGAUUUGUUAUUAUGCCUGCAUCCUGGGAGAAGAGGAGUGUGUACUUACGUUUUGCCCUGCGUGCUCGUGCUCAAAUCAUUUUGAUGCACUGAGGUAGGCACGCUUUUUCUGUCUUCAGAAAAGUUUGAUUAUUUUAAGUACAAAGUUAUAAACACAGUGUUUUGUUCAUGAAUAAUGUGAUGUAUAUUUAGAGGUUACUCAUAAGUGGAUGGUAUUGUUAAGAUGCACUUGUAAUUGUACUUUUUAGGAUGAUAUCAACAUUCUGAAUUCAACAUGUGGUUAAUAGCUAGCUAAGGUAUUAGCAGGCUAUUGUAUGUGUGAACGAUGGCUAGCUCCUCGAAUGAUCCCAGUCCCUCCUAUUGUGCAUCUGUUGUAGAAAGAGGCGACGAUUCUCAGAACAGAUGUGCUCUACAAAUGUUUUAUUUCCUUUUGGAUGCAGAUGCAGGAUGCAGAGAGUCAGUUCUGCUUAAUUAAAACUACCUGAUCUCCAAAGUCCACGCCUAUAGUCUCAAUCAACCACACACAACGCAGAGUUACAGCGGUGCAGUAUAGCACCGGCUACACAAGCUAAGCAUAGACUAUAACAAUGCUACCUGCUUUCAUAAGAGGAGAUCUGCAAUUGAUAUUAACUUCAAUCUAUUAGCCAUAUAAUGAAUUAUAUUCGGAAAUUUCACCUGAUGGUUUCUUUGAAUCAGUACACCACACACGAUCUCUAGCCAGCUGACGGUCAGUUGGACGUGCACCCCAUACUGAAUUGUCAAAAGCCACGCGCACUUGUUUUGACAUGCCAAACGUGUGCUCAAUGUGUCGGCUUCAGUGCCAUCAUUACAUGAAUGCAGAAAAGACAGUUUUGCAUGACUUCCAACAAUCCCUGUGGUCUAGAGGAUUGGUAUCUAUGCGGAUCAAAGUUGCCAUGUGAGGGUGUAUUAGGACAGUACAACCACGAC
ensembl:lncRNA